GCCUCAGUCUGCGCCCUGACUGAGCUGGUGUCCUGUUUCCUAUUGAUUUAUUUCCCAGAAGAACAGUCAUCGGUGGAUAGAGAUUGACGUUGAACUACAGACCGUAGAUAACCUGGGGCUAGCAGAGACUACUAUGGAGUCAGCACAGAAUAAAGCUCAACCAACCUCUCCUCAUAAACAGACAGUGAAGAACAGGUCCAAGUCAACAGAUGAGAUUCAACAAGCCAAAAAGGCUUUUCACACGACACAGAAAUCAUUGCCAGGGAAGCCGGAGACUGAGAAUGAGGAGCCCCCAGAGAGUCCAUCCUCAUCAGAAGAACUGAAAUGAAGGGGCAGACAGCGCCAGGCAGAGAGUCAGAGUCAUGGGCGACACCAAUCAUUCCUCUGGAAACCUAUUCAGUUGUCUGCAGUUUUUAUUCUCAUAACGACAAAAAGGCUGUACAUUUUUUGUAAACGUCUUAUGAAUGUGGUUGUUUACCAAAUAAGAAAAAGUGUAAAAUGCAUUGUUUGUGAGGAUAUAAUGUUCAAAGAAUGACUAGAGACUUACUCUACAAAACACAGACACUUAACAUAAAUGUGUAAUUAAGUGAGUGGAAAACACAUGUGCAUGUGCCAGUUGGGAUGUGUGUAAGUAUGAGGUAUAGUGGAUUUGUUAUGUACACUCUCCUAAAACAUUGAGUUUUUUGGAACUGAUGUCAGAAUUAAUGUCUGUAUGCCACUUUGAAAAUGUGAAGCAAUUGAACUUGUAAAUAAA